GACGAUGCGUAGGGGUUCUGAGAGGAAGGUCCCCCACACUGGUACUGAGACACGGACCAGACUCCUACGGGAGGCAGCAGUGAGGAAUAUUGGUCAAUGGCCGCAGGGCUGAACCAGCCAAGUCGCGUGAGGGAUGACGGUCCUAUGGAUUGUAAACCUCUUUUGUCAGGGAGCAAAGGGCGCCACGUGUGGCGCUUUGCGAGUACCUGAAGAAAAAGCAUCGGCUAACUCCGUGCCAGCAGCCGCGGUAAUACGGAGGAUGCGAGCGUUAUCCGGAUUUAUUGGGUUUAAAGGGUGCGCAGGCGGAAUGUCAAGUCAGCGGUAAAAUUUCGGGGCUCAACCCCGUCGUGCCGUUGAAACUGGCGUUCUUGAGUGAGCGAGAAGUAUGCGGAAUGCGUGGUGUAGCGGUGAAAUGCAUAGAUAUCACGCAGAACUCCGAUUGCGAAGGCAGCAUACCGGCGCUCAACUGACGCUCAUGCACGAAAGCGUGGGUAUCGAACAGGAUUAGAUACCCUGGUAGUCCACGCAGUAAACGAUGAAUACUAACUGUCCGGGCAGAAUGAUGCCUGG
rnacentral:rRNA from 1 species